CAGCAGCCGCGGUAAUAUGUAGGGUGCGAGCGUUAAUCGGAAUUACUGGGCGUAAAGCGUGCGCAGGCGGUUUUGUAAGACAGGCGUGAAAUCCCCGGGCUCAACCUGGGAAUGGCGCUUGUGACUGCAAAGCUAGAGUGCGGCAGAGGGGGAUGGAAUUCCGCGUAUAGCAGUGAAAUGCGUAGAUAUGCGGAGGAACACCGAUGGCGAAGGCAAUCCCCUGGGCCUGCACUGACGCUCAUGCACGAAAGCGUGGGGAGCAAACAGGAUUAGAUACCCCUGUAGUCCCUGUCUCUUAUAC
rnacentral:rRNA from 1 species